CCAAACGGCGGAGAGUGUUUUUCUGUGUGCAUUUUCCAAAUGACCCUUCACCUGGGUUCUGGCACCCCGCCCUGUGGCCUCUGCUCAGGGGACCGGCAAUGUCAGUCUACUGAAGGGGCAGGAGGCUAUCAGUUUACAAGAGAGGAAGCAGAGGAAGGGGAAAGAAAGCAGACAAAUUACUAAAUGAGGAAGCCAAUUACCCGGGGCACUAUACUUCAAGCUGUCAGCAGGCCACCUUCGGACAGAGCGGAUCAGAGACUUGGAGACUCUGUUGCCAUCUGGACUGCCCAACGAGACAAGCUAGCAGAUAUCCGCUGAUUAAAUCCGAGCUCUCAGGUAUUGUGUUGGCACCAUGUCUGCCUGCUUGAUGCUUGCUCCCACCGUGACGGUCCCAGACUCCAACCCCCUGCAACUGUAAGCAAGCCCCCAGUAGGCUCGUUCUAUUUGGUCAUGGAGUCCCUGCACAGCCACAGAAAAGGAACUGGGGCGCCGAGUUACGAGAUUGAGGACCACCUUCACUCAGUAAUGUAAUUUCUUAGAAUAGCUAGCUGAUACCAGCAGGAAGAAAACCCUUCCAAAGCCCGAGACCGUUGUCAACCACUCAGGCUAAACCAGAGACUUCGAAGGUCUUAAGCCCUGUGGCUAUUUUUAACCACCUUAGCUGGUUAUCUCUGUCACUUGUCACGACCAGCAGGCUCUCUCACUUCAGCGAGAGACUAAGGAAUAGGUGGACUCUCUAGUCUCUUCCAUUGAAACAGAAGACCCCGGGAGCUCCCCCACGAAUACAACAUGCAGCUUCUCAGCAUAAACAAGGGGUGAAGCAGGGGUUCUGCUUAGAAGAGAUGGAGCCAGGUUAAUUCUGGAGCCUAAACACAGAGCCUGAACACUGAAUCAGCCUCAGCCCUAUUGACCAAUGGUGGCUUGAAGGAAGAAACACGCAGGAAGAUGUGAAGAUCGGACCUCCGCAGAAAACUGAGGCAAGCCAAACCUAAUGGUAUGGAGGUGUCCAAAAAGGCCAAAUAAA